rnacentral:lncRNA from 1 species
GUUUUGCAUCUGGACCUUCGAUACUGACAUCAGGGGCAUCAAUGUCCACUUUGGGGCCAGAAAUCUCAAUGUCAGCCUUAGGAAGGGUAACAUCCACAUCUGGGCCCUCUCCUUUGAAUCCUGGCAUGCUGAAUUUGGGCAUUUUCACCUUGGGCAUCUUCAGGUGCCAGUCUGGGCCAUGAACAUCCACAUCUGGGGCAUCAAUGUCCAUUUUGGGUCCUUUGAUGUCAACAUCUGGCACUUUCAUUUCACCUUCUACCUUGGGCACAGACACAUCCAUAUCCCCUUUGACUUUGGGGCCUUUCAGGUGUAAGUCCACAUCAGGCAUGGAGAUCUUGGGGGCCUUGAAGUGCAUCUCAGGCAUCUUAAACUUGGGCCCUUUCAACUUUGCAUCAGGACACUCCAGA